rnacentral:rRNA from 1 species
AGCAGUCGCCGCGGGAAAACGUAGGUGGCAAGCGUUGUCCGGAAUUAUUGGGCGUAAAGGGCUCGCAGGCGGUUUCUUAAGUCUGAUGUGAAAGCCCCCGGCUCAACCGGGGAGGGUCAUUGGAAACUGGGAAACUUGAGUGCAGAAGAGGAGAGUGGAAUUCCACGUGUAGCGGUGAAAUGCGUAGAGAUGUGGAGGAACACCAGUGGCGAAGGCGACUCUCUGGUCUGUAACUGACGCUGAGGAGCGAAAGCGUGGGGAGCGAACAGGAUUAGAUACCCCCGUAGUCCCUGUCUCUUAUAC